rnacentral:rRNA from 1 species
UACGUAGGGUGCGAGCGUUAAUCGGAAUUACUGGGCGUAAAGCGUGCGCAGGCGGUUUGUUAAGCCAGCUGUGAAAGCCCCGGGCUCAACCUGGGAACUGCGUUUGGUACUGGCAAGCUAGAGUACGGCAGAGGGGGGUGGAAUUCCACGUGUAGCAGUGAAAUGCGUAGAGAUGUGGAGGAACACCGAUGGCGAAGGCAGCCCCCUGGGCCAACACUGACGCUCAGGCACGAAAGCGUGGGGAGCAAACAGG